UAUGACCAUUAUUAUGCUCAAAUGUAAUUAUUGUCUCAUUUUUAUCCUUUUUGUAGUGUAAACUUAAGUAUAAAAAUAAAGAUCUAUGAAUAUGUCAGACAAAUCAUAUACAAUGGGUGAUCACUUGGUAAGUAAUUUGUUUUAUACCUUUGUUGUGGUCUGUGUAGAUUGAGGCUAUUUUGGCAAUUAGCCAUGCACUUAGACAUAGCAUGACCAGUGUGGACUGCCUAUGCCUUAUUAAACAUGAUUGAAUACCCAAAAUAGAUUCAAGAUUAUGAUAUAUGUCUCAGGCAUGGACCAAAAAAUGACCAUGUACUGAAGAAAUAUGGCAUGACCCAUGUAAAAUAUGGUGGAAAACAUACAAUUGGGGCUGCAUCCCACCAUAAUGCACUAGUCAAUUGAAACCCCGACCCCCGGGAUAGGGCGGGGAAAUUAACAUUUUGACAAUGUUAAAUUUUGGUAAUUUCCCUGCUACCGGGGGAAUGUUGACUGUUAAAGUUACCGCCCCUAUGGCUCCGGCACUUUGCAAAUUUUCAUGACUUGGGAAUUGUCCCAGCUAAUAAAUUGACUUGUUAUUUACCCUGUACCCCGGGGGAAAUGCUGCAUUAAGACCGUGUUAAUCCACGGCCAUUCCCCCGUUAAUUCCCUGCCCUGUCCCAGGGGUCGGGGGACCGGGGUUUCAAUUGACUAGUGCAUGCAUAAACAUUGCAAAGGUCCAUUUUGUUAAUUAAUGGCACUAUAUGUAUUUAAUCUUAAUUUAUAGGGCCUGUGAGUUCAUAUCUGGAAUAAAAUAAUGGCAGAUCUACAGAAAUAUCACUGCUAAGGAGUGUCAAACAAGUUCAGGAGGACUGAAUUAACUGCAUGUUCUCUGGAUGAAAAAGAAAUUGUUGACUUUAAUUGAAUAAUCAUUAUCAUUAAUGUAAGGUUAAAAAUAUUGAACUUUCAAAAGGAUGCAGACAGAAAAUUGAAAGUAGGGCCUGAAUUUCAGGUUAAGUGAUCCAGGAAUGGGGUUGGCCCUCUGCAGGCUAAAUCAAUUGAGGGAGAUCCCUUUAUUUCAAGUUAAAUGAUUAUUUGAAUAAGAUGCCAUUCAGGCAAUAAGGGCCUGGUUAGGUCCAUAUUUUAAUUCAAAUUAUUAAGUACUCGAUUUAUCCAUCAACAAAACCCAACAUUAAAAUUUCCAUCGAGUGAGAUGCAACAAAACCAUCUAUAGUUUAUUAAUUAUGUUAACCUAAUCCAUCAAUUGGCAAUGAGCCUACUUUAGUAUUUUAUAUACUCUAUCUCUAAUUUGCCCAUUAUAUUUAUAAACUGAC